GACAGAGGUGCCAAGCGUUAGGCGGAAUCACUGGGCUUAAAGCGUGUGUAGGCGGAUCGUUAAGUACCUUGUGAAAUCCCACGGCUCAACCGUGGAACUGCUGGGUAUACUGGCGGUCUUGAGCCACCUAGGGGCAACUGGAACAAGCGAUGGAGCGGUGAAAUGCGUAGAUAUCGCUUGGAACGCCAACGGUGAAAACAGGUUGCUGGGGGUGUGCUGACGCUGAGACACGAAAGCCAGGGGAGCGAACGGG
rnacentral:rRNA from 1 species